GUCAUUACGUUCAACUUCCGUUUCGCCGCCAUUUUGUGAAUGGACGCCGUUGCCAUCGACAUCCCGAAAACAGACUAAAAUAAACGCGAUUCUGAGCCCAAUUAACACGAUUUACAGUCGCUUCGGUUAAGUUACAACCUUAGACGCAUUCUUCAGAAGAACACGACGUGAUUGCGCGCGGUUUCGCCGAGUAUUGAACAAGGAUGUCGGAGGAGCAGAAUCUGGGCGAAGACUCGAUGAUGGUGAUGAAGAUGGAGGAUGAUGAUGGAGAGGGUUUGGGCGAAGAGCAGAUGCCGGGCGCUGAUGAAGAGGGCGGGCAGGGAGAGGCGGAGGGCUCCAAGAUAGAUGCCAGCAAGAAUGAGGAGGAUGAGGGGAAAAUGUUUGUGGGGGGCUUGAGUUGGGACACAACUAAGAAAGACCUGAAGGAUUACUUCAGCAAAUAUGGAGAGGUGGUCGACUGCACCCUGAAACUGGAUCCUUUGACAGGCCGGUCCCGAGGAUUUGGCUUUGUUCUGUUUAAAGAAGCUGACAGUGUGGAAAAGGUGAUCACGCAAAAGGAGCACAAACUGAACGGAAAAGUGAUUGAUCCUAAGAAAGCAAAGGCCAUGAAGUCCAAAGAGCCUGUGAAGAAGAUAUUUGUGGGAGGUCUUUCCCCAGAUACUCCAGAAGAGAAGAUCCGAGAGUACUUUGAUGGCUAUGGAGAGGUGGAUUCCAUUGAGCUGCCAAUGGAGAAUAAAACAAAUAAAAGACGAGGUUUUUGUUUCAUUACAUUUAAAGAGGAGGAACCAGUAAAGAAAAUUAUGGAGAAGAAGUACCACAACAUCGGUUUAAGUAAGUGUGAGAUCAAGGUGGCCAUGUCUAAGGAGCAGUACCAGCAGCAGCAGCAGUGGGGCGGAAGAGGAGGAUACCCCUCCAGGUCCAGAGGGAGAGGAGGUCCCAAUCAGAACUGGAACCAGGGAUACGGAAACUACUGGAAUCAAGGUUAUGGAAAUUACGGGAACUAUGGCUACAACAAUCAAGGCUAUGGUGGAUACGGGGGCUAUGAUUACACGGGUUACAACAACUACUACGGAUAUGGUGACUACAGCAAUCAGCAGAGCGGCUACGGCAAAUCCCCGAGGCGAGGCGGCCACCAAAACACUUACAAGCCGUAUUAACCUUUAUACGCCAGCCGAAGUGUGCAGGUACGUGCUCGCGUUGCUCACGCCGACGCAUCUUUAGCUCUCUAAAUCAUCACCAUUUGAUCUUUUUUGUAAUGUACAUUGCUUAAUUUUUGUUUUUCUCUAAAGUUUCACAGCACCCUGAAGUGCUUUACAGUAGUGGUAACAUAGAGACUUUUGGCAGUAAUGUAACAGCUGGCUUUUGGCUGGCCAUUUUGUAACUGUAAAAAGUAACAGGUACAGUACUGCUAAAUGGGAAAAUACCAGAAAAUAUGGAAUUACAAGGAAAGAAAACCGAAGAAUGUUGUCUUCUCCUAACUCUGACAUAUACCUUGUUUGUACCUGCCAGCGGGGACUUCCUUGCAGGCCAUGAGCUGACUUCCCGAUUGUCUCAGGGUACGAGAGGCGUACGCUCUCGAAUGCUCCCAUUUGACGGCAGGGCGAUUGAAAGUCCCCCCCCCCCCGAGAGGAGAAAACGAGAGGCUUAAAUGCGGAGUCGAUCAACACGUUACUACACUUUGGGCGCCAGUUGAAAUCUGAAAUUACUUUCAAGGACACGCGCUAAAGUUUCAAGUGUUAUUUCAAUUGAUAUUCAUCCUGAAUUUUUUUUUUC